AACCCUCCUUGGUCUUUUGGCUAAGAUCAAGUGCAAUAUCUGUUCAUAUCAGUGUAAUAUCUCAUAAAUCUUGUAUCUGAGGACAAUACAUUAAAUGGAUUUUUGGAGCAUGGAAAUGGAAAAGGGGCUUGCUUCAUCCACUCGAUGCAUCGAUCUGGUAUUGCAGUACCUCCACGAAUGGUGCACCCCCU
ensembl:snRNA U2 U2 spliceosomal RNA